UCCUUAAGUUCUUCUUGAAGUGCAAUCAAAAUUGUCUCAAAAAUGCUGGAAAUCCCAGAGAUAUGCGAAGAUUUCAGGUUGUUAUCUCCACCCAGGUGGCCGUGGAUGGACCUUUGUUGGCUAUAUCGGACAAUAUGUUUGUGCACAACAAUUCGAAGCAUGGAAGGCGCGCCAAGCGACUGGAUACAACGGAAGGUCUCUAUCCACCGCUGCCCGUAGCGACGCCCUGCAUCAAAGCCAUAUCGCCCAGCGAGGGCUGGACUACUGGUGGCGCCACUGUCAUCAUUGUGGGCGACAAUUUCUUUGAUGGCCUCCAAGUUGUGUUUGGCACGAUGUUGGUCUGGAGCGAGCUCAUCACAUCGCAUGCGAUACGCGUGCAAACGCCGCCGCGACAUAUUCCGGGCGUAGUGGAGGUAACGCUCUCCUACAAGAGCAAACAGUUCUGCAAGGGCUCACCCGGACGCUUUGUCUAUGUCUCAGCACUCAACGAACCCACUAUCGACUACGGCUUCCAGCGACUGCAGAAGCUGAUACCGCGACACCCCGGCGAUCCCGAGAAGCUGCAAAAGGAGAUUAUACUCAAGCGUGCAGCAGAUCUGGUCGAGGCACUCUACUCCAUGCCCAGCAGAUCACCAGGUGGCUCCACUAGCUUCAACUCGUAUGCGGGCCAGCUGGCGGUGAGCGUGCAGGACGGCAGCGGUCAGUGGACCGAGGAUGAUUACCAGCGUGCGCAGUCCAGCAGCGUCAGUCCACGUGGCGGCUACUGCAGCAGUGCAUCCACGCCACAUAGCUCGGGUGGCUCGUAUGGCGCCACCGCCAGCACUGCCGUGGCAGCCACAGCGAAUGGCUAUGCGCCCGCUCCCAAUAUGGGCACGCUCUCCUCUUCACCCGGCAGCGUCUUCAAUUCCACGUCAAUGUCCGUGUCGUCGCCUUGGCAUUCGGCGCUAGUGCAGCAUCAUCAUGUGGCAGCCGCCGCCACCCAUCCGCAUCACUAUCCCCAUCCGCAUCAGCCCUGGCACAAUCCGGCCGUAUCGGCAGCAACAGCAGCGGCCGUUUAAGCAAAGGACGCCCCAAUCAAGAGCAAUGGAUAUUGGAGCUCACACACAGACAGACACACUUACACACCACACACACAUACACAUACACACAUGCACAGCAUAGGCUUAUCGAACGCAACGCCCCACAAAAAAAAAGUGCGUUGUUGCGAAGCAACAACAACAGCAACAUGAAGAGCGUGAACAACAGCAAUCGGCGAUUGGCAAUGGCAAAUGGCGUUGAUAGACCCUGUACGUGUGAGUCCAACUGUGUGCUAGUGGUAGUGGGUAGUGUGUGGCUGCUGAUUGAGCUGCGCGUCGCGACUGUCAUUAAACACAUCCACAACAAGUACAACAACAACAACAACAACACAACAACAACAUCACCAACAACACACGUUCAAUGGAGUCAGCAGCUUGAGCUUCAAUCCAUUCGCCCUGCCCACCUGCAAUACACAGGGAUAUAGCACCAGUCAACUGGUGACAUCAACC